GAACCGUCCAAACGUUUAUUUCGGAAUCACUGGGCUUAAAGGGUGCGUAGGCUGUUAGAUAAGUAGGAUGUGAAAUCCCACGGCUCAACCGUGGAACUGCGUUCUAUACUGUUUAACUAGAGGAAGGUAGAGGUGAGCGGAACUGAUGGUGGAGCGGUGAAAUGCGUUGAUAUCAUCAGGAACACCAGUUGCGAAAGCGGCUCGCUGGGCCUUUUCUGACGCUGAGGCACGAAAGCUAGGGGAGCGAACGGGGAUUAGAUACCCCGGUAGUCCUAGCUGUAAACGAUCAGUACUUAUUCGGGACUCCCUCCCAUAGGUUCCCCGGAUGUAGCGAAAGUGUUAAGUACUGCGCCUGGGGAGUAUGGUCGCAAGGCUG
rnacentral:rRNA from 1 species